UCGUGGCACUGGUGUCUGGUUCCGAAAAAGCAGCUGUGCAGCUCUUCAUCCCUGGGGAGGGGCCUAGUCAAGGGGGAAGACCAUGCGGGUCUAGUGGUGGAACUUCCUGAUUUUUGUCCCUCCCUGGUUUGGGGGUGGUAGCAUGCAGCACAUGAGACUGGCAUGGUAGAGGCCAUCAUACAGGUCCUGGAAUACAUCCAGGGCACCCGGUGCUGUGAGCAAGGAGGAAUUGGAGCACAGAAGGGCCUUGCUUGCAGGUGCAGUGUGGGAGAUUGGCCCAUGGGCUGACAACAGGAUGAAUGAAGCAAGGAGGGUCAGGGUCAGGAAGGCUGAACUUGGGCAGUAUCCAGAAAAGUGCUGAUGGGAGCUCGGAGGGCAGGGACAGAAAGCAGAGCUGGGAGGUUGUCACUAGGGUGGUAGAGGAGACCAGACCCUUCCGCUGAUUAGCUGCAAGGUGGGGCCAGGACUCUAAGCCCCCUACUAGAGCCUCACCUGGCUUGGCUCAGUGUGGAUCUGAGCACACGAGGCCACAGGGGAUCAUAGUCUCUGUGUGUCCCAAAUGUCACUGAGUGAUGGAACAGGAAUGUUUAUAUCCAGAAGUUCUUUGUCAGCUCCCCCUUCCCAGGGAAUGCACUGGGACCUAAAUUCUUGUGUGCAGAGGAAAAGUGCAGGCCUUGGAAUGGCCUCUCCAGCAUUGUUCCUUGGCAAACACAGGAAGAUGGGUUUCCUUUAGCUUUGUGGUGCUGACAUCUGAAUCCGGACCCCUCCCCCAGCCUUUGGGGUCAGGGAGGGAGGCAGAGGACCAAGCAGUCGAUGGAAAAUAAACACCCACCUCUGCUUUUUUGACUUAGUUCAUGUUCUUAGAAUUUCCUCUCUUGGAUUCUGGCUUUGUUAUUUUAAAAUUCCACACGUUGGUUAGGGUUGAGAAAAUCCCCUGUUGCUAUUGCUAUGGAGAGGCAGCUCUACACUGGGGGCACAGAGUCUUGGCGCCCCCGGAGAAGUAAGCCAGCCAGCGGGCCUGCAGCCCAAUCUCCAAUCUGAGUUCCGCAAGGAUCAGUGACCAAGAUGGGAUUCCACUUGCAAGAUAUCUAUUGGAAAAAGCUCCUGUGAUUGAAUAAUGGGAGGAGCCUUCUCAGAGCUGCGGCAUAUUCACACUUAAGGCUGUAUGUGUGUAUAUGGAGCCCCUCUAGAGACAUCCCACCGCCCUGCCCUCCUGGAAAGAACGUUCAGCCUGUCCCACACCAGAACCCAUUCAAGGAGAGAGGAAUGCCGAGAUAGUGGCUCAUCUUCCUCCGUCCCAGAGAGGCCUCGGAGUAGUCCUCUCUGUUGCUUCACAGCCCUCCAACUAUGCGAAGAAUGCGAACCAUUUCCCAUGUGACUGGCAACCAUGAAGCAAUUCUGAGCCCAACCUCCCCAAAUAUCUGCUUUGCAAACAGAUAAAACAGAGAAGCAUCCUGAAAAUGUGCUGUUGGGUCAUUCACCUUAGGCGGUUGUGCUGUCUGCUUGCCUACCAGGGGGGUUUCUGCUUCCACAGUCCAGCCUGGAGCUGCUGGGGAGCUAGUUUGCGAUGUGGCCAUGUUCCUUAAGGGGGCAGAACACAGAAAACUCUCAGGAAGGGGCUUCUCAAGGAAAUGGGGACCAAGCGACGCUGCGGGCUCUUUGAAGGGAUCUGGGUCCCAUCCCAGUGCUGGACUCAUUGCUGGCCAGUCCUUGGGGUCACCUGGGAGCCCUUUGGCUCCUGAGAUGUCUGGGCAUGGGGCUGCCUUCACCAGCCACAAGAACCCAAACCCACCUCAACCAGCCUUUGGCAUCUCCAGUCUGCACCAGCUCUAAUUUUGUGUCCUGAGUGGGUGGAGGCAGUGGCAGGGGGAGUGCAUGCCAAGCCUGGCAGAGGUAAGGAAGAGGAAGAGGAAGAGGACUUAACUUUCUCAGUAGCUUCAGCCUUCCGAGAAACUCUAGAAUGCCUUGUUGCACUAUGGCAGGCAUAAUCAGGUCCCAGUGACCUACAUAACCUUCCAGACACCGGGCGAGCGGGAGCCCUGACUCAUGUCAGGGGAGCCUGACAGAGGAAGGGUGGGGGCAGGGAGGAUUUAUAAUCCUGAGACAGUGAAACCACCUAAAUAUUUAGUGAUGACUGAGUCACUGUAUGUCCACAGGGUGGAAUAUUAUGUCAAAGUGAUUAGUACAAAGACUAUUUAGCAAUAUUGCGAGUGUUUAUGAUAUAGUAUUAAGUGAACAAAAGAAAGAUAUAUGCCUUUAUGGCACCUGAACAAGAGAAGACUAGAAGAGGAUUUCAAAAAAUAACAGCUGUGGCCGGGUGCGGUGGCUCAUGCCUGUAAUCCCAGCACUUUGG